UUUUCUUCUUACGCGCGGGAACUGCAAUCAUAGCGAGAAAGAACUACAGAGAAGUGCUACCCGCGCUGGACCGUGUACAAGUCUCCUGGAAUGGAGCGUCAUAGAGGGUGAGAAUCCCGUCUCUGACACGGACUACCAGGGCUUUGUGGUACGCUCUCAAAGAGUCGAGUUGUUUGGGAAUGCAGCUCAAAAUGGGUGGUAAAUUCCAUCUAAAGCUAAAUAUUGGCGAGAGACCGAUAGCGAACAAGUACCGUGAGGGAAAGAUGAAAAGAACUUUGGAAAGAGAGUUAAACAGUACGUGAAAUUGCUGAAAGGGAAACGCUUGAAGUCAGUCGCGUUGGCCGGGGAUCAGCCUCGCUUUUGCGUGGUGUACUUUCUGGUUGACGGGUCAGCAUCAAUUUUGACCGCUGGAAAAAGGCUUGGGGAAUGUGGCAGCUUCGGCUGUGUUAUAGCCCUUUGUCACAUACAGCGGUUGGGAUUGAGGAACUCAGCACGCCGCAAGGCCGGGUUUCGACCACGUUCGUGCUUAGGAUGCUGGCAUAAUGGCUUUAAGCGACCCGUCUUGAAACACGGACCAAGGAGUCUAACAUGCCUGCGAGUGUUUGGGUGGAAAACCCGAGCGCGUAAUGAAAGUGAAAGUUGAGAUCCCUGUCGUGGGGAGCAUCGACGCCCGGACCAGAACUUUUGGGACGGAUCCGCGGUAGAGCAUGUAUGUUGGGACCCGAAAGAUGGUGAACUAUGCCUGAAUAGGGUGAAGCCAGAGGAAACUCUGGUGGAGGCUCGUAGCGAUUCUGACGUGCAAAUCGAUCGUCAAAUUUGGGUAUAGGGGCGAAAGACUAUCGACCAUCUAGUAGCUGGUCUGCGAGCUCUCCUCCCAGAGUGUAUAUAA
rnacentral:rRNA from 1 species